UUAAGUUCAGGGGGUAUCCUUACCUGAUCUGAGGUCAAACCUUAAAAAUAGUUUGAUUUUGACAAAGCUAUACAGAGUAACUAAGCUGAUGGUAUUUCUACUACGCUUGCUGCUAUGUAAACUUGCCAAUCAGUUUAAGAAGUGAACUGCUAGGCAGAUCAUCCUCCAAUACCAAGCGGUUGCUUGAGAUUAUACUGACG
rnacentral:misc_RNA from 2 species